rnacentral:rRNA from 1 species
GUGGGUAACCUGCCUGUAAGACUGGGAUAACUCCGGGAAACCGGAGCUAAUACCGGAUAGUUCCUUGAACCGCAUGGUUCAAGGAUGAAAGACGGUUUCGGCUGUCACUUACAGAUGGACCCGCGGCGCAUUAGCUAGUUGGUGAGGUAACGGCUCACCAAGGCGACGAUGCGUAGCCGACCUGAGAGGGUGAUCGGCCACACUGGGACUGAGACACGGCCCAGACUCCUACGGGAGGCAGCAGUAGGGAAUCUUCCGCAAUGGACGAAAGUCUGACGGAGCAACGCCGCGUGAGUGAUGAAGGUUUUCGGAUCGUAAAGCUCUGUUGUUAGGGAAGAACAAGUGCAAGAGUAACUGCUUGCACCUUGACGGUACCUAACCAGAAAGCCACGGCUAACUACGUGCCAGCAGCCGCGGUAAUACGUAGGUGGCAAGCGUUGUCCGGAAUUAUUGGGCGUAAAGGGCUCGCAGGCGGUUUCUUAAGUCUGAUGUGAAAGCCCCCGGCUCAACCGGGGAGGGUCAUUGGAAACUGGGAAACUUGAGUGCAGAAGAGGAGAGUGGAAUUCCACGUGUAGCGGUGAAAUGCGUAGAGAUGUGGAGGAACACCAGUGGCGAAGGCGACUCUCUGGUCUGUAACUGACGCUGAGGAGCGAAAGCGUGGGGAGCGAACAGGAUUAGAUACCCUGGUAGUCCACGCCGUAAAC